UGAUGUGAGGGUGAUCUGGCUACAACAUCUGUCACCCCAUUGAUCGCCAGGGUUGAUUCUGCUGAUCUAGCUGGCUAGGCGGGUGUCCCCUUCCUCCCUCACUGUUCCAUGUGCAUCCCUGCCAAAGCCACACGUGGGAGGUCAGAGCGGACGACCUUCCCUGAUAGAGUAGAGGACCGUUCUUUGGUCACGGGUAUACGCAUAGCUACGCUCCCCUGCUAGACCCUCCAGAUAAGCUCUCAAGGUCCAUUUGUAGGAGAAUGUAAGGUAGUCAAGUUUCCAAGACUCCAGACACAUCCAAAUGAGGUGCUGCAUGUGGCAGUCUCUUU
ensembl:misc_RNA 7SK 7SK RNA